AGAGUUUGAUCCUGGCUCAGAACGAACGCUGGCGGCAUGCCUAACACAUGCAAGUCGAACGAGACCUUCGGGUCUAGUGGCGCACGGGUGCGUAACGCGUGGGAAUCUGCCCUUCGGUUCGGAAUAACUCAGGGAAACUUGAGCUAAUACCGGAUAAUGACUUCGGUCCAAAGAUUUAUCGCCGAGGGAUGAGCCCGCGUAGGAUUAGCUUGUUGGUGAGGUAAAAGCUCACCAAGGCGACGAUCCUUAGCUGGUCUGAGAGGAUGAUCAGCCACACUGGGACUGAGACACGGCCCAGACUCCUACGGGAGGCAGCAGUGGGGAAUAUUGGACAAUGGGCGAAAGCCUGAUCCAGCAAUGCCGCGUGAGUGAUGAAGGCCUUAGGGUUGUAAAGCUCUUUUACCCGGGAUGAUAAUGACAGUACCGGGAGAAUAAGCCCCGGCUAACUCCGUGCCAGCAGCCGCGGUAAUACGGAAGGGGCUAGCGUUGUACGGAAUUACUGGGCGUAAAGCGCGCGUAGGCGGCUUUGUAAGUUAGAGGUGAAAGCCCGGGGCUCAACCCCGGAAUUGCCUUUAAGACUGCAUCGCUAGAAUCGUGGAGAGGUAAGUGGAAUACCGAGUGUCGUGGUGAACUCGUAGAUAUUCGGACGAACAGCANUGNGAAGGCGACUUACUGGACCGUAUUGACGCUGAGGUGCAAAGCCUGGGGAGCAACUGGAUNGAUACCUGGUAGUCAGGGCGAUGCAGCCACUGACG
rnacentral:rRNA from 1 species